AGCAUAUUCUCAAGUAGUUUCAUGAUAAAGGGUGUGUGGGAGGUCAACCUUUUAUCUGAAACUGCUUGAGGAUAUGCU
rnacentral:miRNA from 10 species